rnacentral:lncRNA from 1 species
AUGAGAAUCCAUCUCCAGGCAUCCAAGAUGAAGUCCAGAGACGUGAAGUUGCAGAACCUAAGCAGGAACCUAGGGAGGAAGGCCGGGCUGUGGGUUUGCAAAAGGAGAAGAGAGCCUGGAGCACCAUCUCUGCUGGAGUGGCUGCUUCCUCCUGGGAGGCCAAGGAGACCAGCUCCCUGGGCCCAUGGGCCCCGUGAGCAUGGAAGGGCUGGGCCCUUGGCUGCCGUUUGUCUGCCCAAAGACCAAGACAAUGGGCCGCUGCAUCUCAGCCUGAGUUACCUUGACCGCGGUUUGGGGAUGUGGACUGCUGCCUUUGCUCUUUGGGUUUUCCCCCAAGCCAUGUGGAGUUCACUCCUAGCUUGUGACUGUGGAGGUAGUGGGGAGGGUGGGUGGGGACCGGCGUGUCGUCUACAGGUUGAUGAUAUGACCCACGGAGGCUCAUGGGGACCAGAAGUGGGAGUCAGGAGACCUGGGCCCAGUGGGGUGCUGGAGUUGGCUUCACUAUCUCCCCCUCCGCCGCCAACAUCAUCAUCCAUCACCACCCUCAUGUCCUCUCCACCAGCCUCAUCAUUCCCACCAUUUCCACGAUCACCAUCACCUCCAGCCCCUCCAUCAUCAUCAUUCCUACCAUCUCGAUCGUUUCUACCAUCCCACCGCUACUUUCAUCACAUCUACCACCUCCACUGCUGUCAUGAUGACCACCAGCUCCACCAGCUCCCCACCUCCAUCAUGACAAGCACUGCCCCGCUACCGCAGCGUUGUUACUGCCUCUGGCUCCAUGCAUUUCAACUCAGAAAUCUCAGCAGCCUAUAAGGUGGGUACUCUUAUUAUCACCAUGAUGAAUGAAGCUUGAAGAACAUUCAAAACCAGGUCUAAGUGAUUCUUCUUGACACUCUUAACAAGGGGUUGUUGGGACCACUUAUUGACACGGAAUUUGACCUGGUAUGGAGAUGCCACCUGUUUCUCCCAGUGGUCAGUUCUGGAGACACAGAGAGGACCAAAUAUUUCUCUACAAGAGGAUUAAUGCUUACAAAAGGAGUUUGGGAAUCAUAGGAACCUGAGGCUCAGAGACAUCAAGUGUCCUGCUUAAGGUCACACAGCCACUAUCGGCUAGGAUUUAAGCAGAGAGUGUCUGCUGUCAAAACCUACAGGAUCCCAAACUUAACCUCUGCCUUAGUCACAGAGCUGGGGUGAUGCAAGUGCUUUGCGAACUAUCAAGACUGUGGCAGCCAUGGAGAUGUGACCCUCAGGUCUCUUCAAGAGAAAACCUGCCGUGGGGUUUGCAGUCAGCAGACAGCUUCCAGCCAUGGAUGCCUCCAGGCUCUGCUCAGCUUGUAAGUUCAUGGCGGGUGCUUCCCAGGCAGUCUCUGGGCAAUGACUGGGUGGCAGUGACGAAAGGAAUCACCCUCUCUGGGCAGUGUGGGACUCUUCUAUGGGUGACCUAUAUACCCAGGCCCCCGGUAGACUGGCAGAGCCUUCUCACAGCUGCUGUGCCAUCUGAAUCUCUUCGUGCACAAUCCUCCAGUCUUCCCCCUUUCUUGUCACAAGUGUCAGAUCUGCCUGCCCAUUCCUGCCCUCUGCCCGCUCUAUCUUUCAGAAUUAUUAUCUGCUAUAAAUCUCUUGUACCCCAGCUCUGUUUUGGUAUCUGCUUCCUGGAGGACCUCAGACAACACAAAGUUAGCAGAGGCAAUUGUCUUCCUUCCCGGCCUUAAGGAGAGACUUUAGACACGUGCCCUUUAGCCCUGUGGAAUGAGUGUAUACCAACACGACCAUUUCCCAUAGCAACCAUCACUAUCAUAAAUCAACUGGAGCA